UUAACACUGACGGGAACGUGCUCGCUGUGUCGUGAUACAACCUGGACAGCCAAGCGAGUGAUGUGUCCUAUGGUUCCCACCACGUAGAAACGUUUACCAGCAGCAGAGACAACGUCGAAAAUCCCAAAAUUCACGACAAAUGAUAGAAUGGAAAAUCUGGAGUUGAGCCUGACAUCUCUGGGUGCAAUCUCGAGACAUAUCGAUAAAACCAAAACGAACUCCGCAAAUAUAUGGCAAAACAGAUAUGUAGUCAUCAGGACAGGGGUCAGGACAGCCAAUCUUCUUUUUGCACGCCACUUAAGGCCACUGGUCCUGGACCUGUUGGAGAGGAACGCAGAGAGGAUCAAAGUAGACGCCAGGUUGAAUCAUGACCUCCACGAGCGAUUGUGUGUGGCUCAAAGCAAAGUUCUCAACAUCAGUCAAGAUGCUCCAACUAAGUAACCUGACAGGCCCACAUGUGUCAUGACCAUAUAGGUUCAUGACGAGGUAUUUCAGCAGUGCUCCACCUGUAUUUCCGAACCUCUUCUUCACCAGUGAAGAGGCUGCCUCCAUCCAGGAUGGACCCAUGACGGAUGAAGCUACAGGACCUGAUGGGGGCUACCCUCCGCUUCCUUCAAAGUGACUGUGAGAAGUUCCAUGUCCUGUGGGUCUGGAGUGCCUGUGUUUCACAGCUUCUCACCAGUGACAUUGUGGUAAGAAGUUAUACUGCCCAUUGACUUAAACCCAAAAAAACAAUAUUUCUGAGGAAGGUUCUUUCGAGUGAAGAGAUUUUACAUCUGAAAAUGAAAUCACUUGAGGAAAGACUGCAACUGGAGGUAGAAAAGGCUUUAGUUUUGGCCAAUCAGGGCUCGGUAAUGUGGUGGAAAGAGAGGGAAAAUAAGAUCACCAAUGGUCAGGUGGUGAUGGAGGACUUGGCUUGAGUGUUACUGCAGUGUGUUUGGUGAUUCUACUCAAACUGUCCCCUAGACAUGAGGAACAGUUAAGAUAAUCAUCCAUAAACAUACAAACUCUUUUUGUCUGAAUCUGAUGCUUUUAACUAUUUUGACUCCUCGUUUAGUGUAUUUUGGGUCAGUGUUUAUGAUGGCAACAUCCUCUUCUGUUAUUCUCAGACAUGUUUAAGGACUUGUGAUGGUGGAUUCAACCUGUCAAAAUCUAUGACGGCUUGCCAUGGCUGUGGCGUCCCAGAAACAUGUUCUUUUGGAAAGGCGAAUUGGAUGUGGAAAAACUGCUCUCGUUGAAUAUCUAGCUGCUGUGACUGGACAGGUUAAAGCCCCUGACAUCCUCAAAGUUCAACAAGUAUGUACCACUGCACAGAUAUUCCUGGAAAGUUUGUGUGGAAACCAGAAUCCCUGACUCAGUCAGUCUCGAAAGGAUACUGGAUUCUGCUAGAAGACAUUGAUCAUGCUCCUUUGGAUGUGAUAUCUGUUCUACUCCCCCUUAUGAAGAACAAAAUGUUCCAGGAUGCGAGAACUGCAUUCAGAUGGCCCCAGGAUUCCAGUUCCUUGCAAAAAUGAAGAAUGUUUUACACUGGACAAGCCUGGAAUCGACCUCAGUGUACCCAUGCAGCACGUUUAGAUAAAAUACUGGAUCAAACUGCAGAAAGGUCCUGACAAAAAAGCACCCCAACCUGGCAGUGGUGGUGGAGCGUCUUUUGGACAUAUACUGCCAGCUAACAGGAGACAGACACCAGGUCAACUCUGGUCUGCAAUGUUAUAUUGCAGGUCAAAGCAUAUUGGAUGAACACAUGCAAACACUGGAGGGCAGAGACUUUUAUUUAGUGAAAACACUUUUUCAAAAGUGUUUUUCAAACUUUUUAUUCACUAAAUAAAAAUCAAUAUUGUUUUAAAUGAAUUGAAUUGUUCAUUAGAGUUUUGUAGAAUAGUUUUAGGAUUCUUUCUUGUGCCUUUAUUCUAUAUAAAGUCCACAGAUUUUCUUUUAAGAAUUGUAAAGCUAGAAUUACAAUUGCAUAGUUUAGAAAAAUAACAAAAUACAACAAAUAAUGUAUAUCAUAAUGAUAUUUGUAUCAGUAUGUUAAAUAAUUAAGGGCAAUGCUUUAUCAUAAUUUUUGAAUAGUUAAUAUUAUCCGUGCUUUAGGGUCCCAAAACAAAUCCCUUGUUAAACAUCUGGGCAGAAUUGUAGUUGUACAUGUGAUCUGAAUGUUUAAUGAUGCACGUGGGCAUUUACACAUAUCUCUGCAUUGGAAAAUGACACCAUAGAUUCAUCAAUAAAUAAUGAGUGUCAGCGCUCAACUUAAAACCGAACAGUUGCUUUCAGUUAAACAAGUGAGGCACAAUGGUACUACAGUCAGACCCUUAAUGUCCAGUGUUGCAUUAGGGCAGAUUUAAGAUGUUUCAGUCCAUGUCCACUCAUCCAUUGAGCAGUUGAGCCUGUGGCUGUUCAUCAGCUUUCCGCUGGACCCUGCUGCAGUUGAUGACACAUCGAUCUCUCUGUCUCCACUGUGUAAACCCAGCCAGAAAUGCCGUUUGAGAUUUGGGCCAGGGCUAAUCAUUUACGUAACUAGCUUUGUGCAAUAGAGACCCUGCACUACUAAUUUAUAUAUAGUAACAUACCUGCCAUGUGGAGAGUUGAAAGCUUUUUUUUUUUUUUUCAUUUGUUCGUUAUUUUUGUAAUGUUUGUAUGCAUUCAGAACAUCGUACGGAAUGAAUUGUUGUUUGUUUUUGUGUUUUCCGCUGUGGUUUCAGAUUUGUUGUUUUGUUUUGCACUUAAGGGGGCCUCUAUAGUAAUUACUUGUAUAAUAGGCGCAGCAUUUAUUAGUUGAUUAAAUUACAUUUAGAGAAGCCAGGAAUAUGCCCCUAUAGGCUUUUGAAGGUGUCGGGUAAGGUAGCUGUUGGAUGGUGUGGAGACCCAACUGUUUCCAAAAUAAUCAAUACACUUCCUCCCUCACACCCCUGCUGACAUGAGGGCAUUUGUAGAAACCCAGUCCAAAAACUGUUGAAGCCAUCUACAUAUUUAUUCAAUUAUCUAUUCAGCCAAUCGUGUGGUAGCAGUUUAAUGUAUAUAAUCAUGCAAAUAUUGUAGCAAAAGUAGUGCAAAUUACAGUUUGUUCCACCUAGCGGCAUUUAGUCCCCACUGAGGUGGAAGGUCAUGCCACUGAAACGGCACCCCAACCCACAUCUGAACCAAACGUUCACUGUUUCUGAUACUUAUGAACACUUAUGAAUUAUGAAUUAAGUGAUUAUUGAAAGAGACCUUACCUGAGAGAUGCACAGUAUGAAGGAUUUUUUUUUUAUUAUUAUUUCUCUGCAUUGUAAAUGUUUUUGGAGCCAUGGUUUACCACUAUGUAACAUUACCAUUGCCUCUAAUAAAGCUUAUUAAACAUUUGGACUCUAAAGACACAA